CAGAGGGGGCAAGCGUUGUUCGGAAUUACUGGGCGUAAAGGGCGCGUAGGCGGCCUGUUAAGUCGAACGUGAAAUCCCCGGGCUCAACCCGGGAACUGCGUCCGAUACUGGCAGGCUUGAAUUCGGGAGAGGGAUGCGGAAUUCCAGGUGUAGCGGUGAAAUGCGUAGAUAUCUGGAGGAACACCGGUGGCGAAGGCGGCAUCCUGGACCGAGAUUGACGCUGAGGCGCGAAAGCCAGGGGAGCAAACGGGAUUAGAUACCCCGGUAGUCCUGGCCCUAAACGAUGAAUGCUUGGUGUGGCGGGUAUCGAUCCCCGCGUGCCGAAGCUAACGCAUUAAGCAUUCCGCCUGGGGAGUACGGUCGCAAGGCUG
rnacentral:rRNA from 1 species